GAGAAUCAUAGGAGGAAGAGAAAGUUUAGAUGUCAUUCUUUGAGUUUCUUGCAUGCCUUUGGGAGAUCUGCUCAUGCAUGCAAUGUUGCUGGCAGUACAGGAGUCUGUGAGCAGAGAACUUCCACAGACCAUAUUAAGAGCUGCUGGCCUCAGACUAUCUCCAGCUCUCCUUCACUGUGAGCAAGAACAGUAUAUCAAAAGGGACUCUCAGCUACUGAAAGAAAAGUGCUUCAGGCAGCCGUGACCACUUGGACACGGAGAAUUUGAGCAUUACGUGCUACAGAAAUGGUGCCUGCCAUCUGAAAGCCUUUGCUUCAGGUUCAAUUCUGCCUUCUCAGAGACCCUGCUAGGCUAAGUGCCUCAUUUCCAAGAGCCUCAGCCUCACAAGCACUUUGCUAUAGUGGUUCUUACUGAGUGCUUUCUCUCAUGCUUUUAAAGGCUUAA